GAUGAACGCUGGCGGCGUGCCUAAUACAUGCAAGUCGAGCGAACGGACGAGAAGCUUGCUUCUCUGAUGUUAGCGGCGGACGGGUGAGUAACACGUGGAUAACCUACCUAUAAGACUGGGAUAACUUCGGGAAACCGGAGCUAAUACCGGAUAAUAUUUUGAACCGCAUGGUUCAAAAGUGAAAGACGGUCCUGCUGUCACUUAUAGAUGGAUCCGCGCUGCAUUAGCUAGUUGGUAAGGUAACGGCUUACCAAGGCAACGAUGCAUAGGCGACCUGAGAGGGUGAUCGCCAACACUGGAACUGAGCCACGGUCCACAGUCCUACGGGAGGCACCAGUAGGGAAUCUUCCGCAAUGGGCGAAAGCCUGACGGAGCAACGCCGCGUGAGUGAUGAAGGUCUUCGGAUCUUAAAACUCUGUUAUUAGGGAAGAACAUAUGUGUAAGUAACUGUGCACAUCUUGACGGAACCUAAUCAGAAAGCCACGGCUAACUACGUG
rnacentral:rRNA from 1 species